AUUGGGCGUAAAGGGCUCGCAGGCGGUUUCUUAAGUCUGAUGUGAAAGCCCCCGGCUCAACCGGGGAGGGUCAUUGGAAACUGGGAAACUUGAGUGCAGAAGAGGAGAGUGGAAUUCCACGUGUAGCGGUGAAAUGCGUAGAGAUGUGGAGGAACACCAGUGGCGAAGGCGACUCUCUGGUCUGUAACUGACGCUGAGGAGCGAAAGCGUGGGGAGCGAACAGGAUUAGAUACCC
rnacentral:rRNA from 1 species